CUCUAACCAGAGAUACAACACUGCCGAAUGUCUCCAUAGGAAUAAACGGUGUGAAAUCGUAACGCCAAAACGUCGAAUGCCUGCUUAUCUCCCGCCUACUUGGCAACAAGAGCCAAUCGGUUGCUGAGCUGCGCGGUCAUUGAUCCAAUCAUCUCGACGCCUCGACGCAAGCGCAAACAUAAACCUUUACGACUGCUCGUACCUAAUCGGUUUGUUUGCUGGUGGCCAUGUGGUUUGUUUGCCGUCCGUGGAAACUUCAGCCAGAGAGACAGCUGUUUUGAAAAUCUUCUCAUGGACGAAGAGCAGUGGCUCCAGGUUGCUUGAUGUGCCUACAUGCUCCUCUGGAUCCUCCUUGGUGUCCAUAGUCUUUGGAAGUGAUCAAGAUUCCACGCCACCACCAUCAUUAUGUGUUGGAAAACAGCAGAUGGCCUGGAACUUGUGAAGAAAUCAUAUGCACUGCACUCAAGUACUGUUGUGGGGUGACCUGUUGCCUGACAAGGAUGGGGACAGCACCUGGAGUCAGACGUGUUCUUUGACCCUUGAAGAGAAAACGAC